rnacentral:tRNA from 1 species
GUGGCCGUAGCUCAAUGGCAGAGCCCCGGAUUGUGAUUCCGGAUGUUGCGGGUUCGAAUCCCGUCGGCCACC